CGGGUUUUUUUUUGUUGACAUUCGUCGCAACGUUGAUGUGUAUCAGUUCGCACAUCUCUUUUGCAAACAGUAUUUGCAACGUCUAUUCUGUUUAUUCAAGAAAACGACAAACAGCAUGGAAGAAGUGCUCAGCACUCAAGGAAUAGCUUUCAAAUAACCAACGCAGCUGCCUAGCAAUCAAUAAACUCAUUGAUUAUUCAUAAAGGCCAGAAGUGGCAUCAUGUGUUGGUCCCGUUUCCCGAAGCCCUCGUUCCAUCAGCCAGGUGAAACGUAAAUGGAAGAAGGGGAAAAAAAAAAUAUGAGCCAACCGACAAAGACCCUAAACGUUGAAAAAGGAUAUGUCGGUACUUGAGCGUUUUCUGCUACCACCCGUUUGCUGGUUUCCAUUCUUUUGUGGCAGUCGCUGAAAACCAGAUAGUAAUCAGCAUUCCAGAUCUUCCACAACUCAUCCGGUCUUGCAACAACCAUUCAGUAAGGAGAAACAACAUGCAAACCAAAGCCGAAUAUAACAAUUGUUUCAUGCGCUUCUCCAGUUACAUCACCGUUGAGUAAUUUUCUAUACAAGAAACUCAUCGUGAAUUAAAAUUGAUUCAUGCAUUCUGUACAAACCGACUAGCAAUAAACUGAAUUUCGCCUUACAA